CCCAGUAGUAUCAGAUGGAACACAUUCUGACUCCUCCCAGUAGUAUCAGAUGGAACACAUUCUGACUCCUCCCAGUAGUAUCAGAUGGAACACAUUCUAACUCCUCCCAGCAGCAGGGAUAUUGAAUUUCCUGUUUAGUCCUAUUCCCCUCUUCACAUUGCUUUUGCACCAAAUGACCCCACACAGCAAGUAAGGCAAUGUAUACAGUAUUAUGUAGAGUAGCGCACCAGUCUCUCAGGCUUGACCCUCUCACCCCUGUCCUCCCCUAUAAGCCUAAAGGUCAUAUCAUAAAGAGAUUGUCUCCAGAUAAUAGAGUACAGAAACAUCAACUCUCUCCAUCUGUUCUCCUCCCUGCUGGGAGUUGAGUGGAUCUAAUAGUGUGGUAUUGAGCUCCACUGUAGAUUCCUCAAAAGUUUUUCAUUACAGAAAUCUAUAUCAAUCCCCUUCCCUCCUGUCAAACUAAUAUGUUGUUAGAUCCCCAAUGACCCUCUGGAACACAUCUCUCUGGGUUUCACCAGAGUAUGGCUGGUGCCCAUACAGCAGCUAAAACUUCAUGUGACAGCGCUUAGCUACCUGAUGAAUAUUCUCCCAACGUUUCUGUUUCCCUGUAACAUCUCUACUACCUCGCUCACCAACCAACAGUUGACCUGCAGGGGAAACCUUCUAACCCAGGCCUUUAGAAAGAGACAAGGAGAUGAGGGGCAGAGGUGUUGGAGGCAAAUCAGAGCAAUUAACUGUCUUUAACAGAGAAGUCAUGGUGUAAGCCUGCCGUAUGUAUCAUUUACAGUAUGUAUCAUUUACAGUAUGUAUCAUUUCAUGGGGCGGCAGGGUAGCCUAGUGGUUAGAGCGUUGGACUAGUAACCGGAAGGUUGCAAGUUCAAACCCCCGAGCUGACAAAGUACAAUCUGUCGUUCUGCCCCUGAACAGGCAGUUAACCCACUGUUCCUAGGCCCUCAUUGAAAAUAAGAAUUUGUUCUUAACUGACUUGCCUAGUUAAUUAAAGGUAAAAUAAAGGUAAAAUUUAAAAAAGUACAGUAUGUACAAUUUACCAUUUACAGUAGGUAUCAUUUACAAUCGGUAUAAUUCCACAUGACCUAUGGGAUGGUUGUGCAUCUGGAAUAUGAACAUAACUUAAACUAACUGAAAGAAGGUUCCCUAGUCUAGAAUGUUCCCUAGUCUAGAAUGUUCCCUAGUCUAGAAUGUUCCCUAGUCUAGAAUGUUCCCUAGCCUAUUAUGUUCCCUAGCCUAGAAUGUUCCCUAGCCUAGAAUAUUCCCUAGCCUAGUAUGUUCCCUAGAAUGCUAGAAUGUUCCCUAGCCUAGUAUGUUCCCUAGAAUCCUAGAAUAUUCCCUAGCCUAGCCUAGAAUAUUCCCUAGCCUAGAAUAUUCCCUAGCCUAGCCUAGAAUGUUCCCUAGCCUAGUAUGCUCCCUAGCCUAGAAUAUUCCCUAGCCUAGCCUAGAAUAUUCCCUAGCCUAGCCUAGAAUAUUCCCUAGCCUA
ensembl:lncRNA